GUAGGUGGCAAGCGUUGUCCGGAAUUAUUGGGCGUAAAGCGCGCGCAGGGCGGUCCUUUAAGUCUGAUGUGAAAGCCCACGGCUCAACCGUGGAGGGUCAUUGGAAACUGGGGGACUUGAGUACAGAAGAGGAAAGCGGAAUUCCAAGUGUAGCGGUGAAAUGCGUAGAGAUUUGGAGGAACACCAGUGGCGAAGGCGGCUUUCUGGUUUGUAACUGACGCUGAGGCGCGAAAGCGUGGGGAGCAAACAGGAUUAGAUACCCUGGUAGUCCACGCCGUAAACGAUGAGUGCUAAGUGUUAGGGGGUUUCCGCCCCUUAGUGCUGCAGCUAACGCAUUAAGCACUCCGCCUGGGGAGUACGGCCGCAAAGGCUG
rnacentral:rRNA from 1 species